UGAAAAGGAAGAAUGAAAAUGUAAGGUUACGCUAUUUUUCCCCUAAACAGAGCACAAAGAAGAAGAGAAAGAGAAAGUGAGAGAGAAUGGCAAAGCGUUUUAGGACAAUCGGAGUUCUUCAGGAGGAGGAGCGAGUGGAGGAAGCAUCCAAGGCUCAGUAGUCAGCUCUGCCAUGCCCUUCUUGGUCUUGGCCUCAGAGUCGGCGAGCAGGUCUACAACAAACUCCUCCUUCCUCUUCUUCUUCUGCUUCUUCUUCUUCUCACCACUUUUCUCAUUCCUCUGCUUCUCACUGACUCACUAAGACAACUAAAACAAUAACCUCAUCAGGAUGAUGGAUCUAUUGUAUGUAUAUUUUCUCUUUUUGGAAGUAAUGCCCAGGAUGGACAUUUAGCUGCUGGUCGUAAUGGUGUAAAGCGCCUCAGAACUAUAAGUUCUCAUCUGUUUUACUCUUUGAUGUGUGGUUUGGCUAGGAAUAUAGAUUGAAAAAAAUGGAGAGGAAAGUGAAGAAAAUGAAACGAUUUGUCGCUGCUACAACACAACUAUUACAAGAGCAGGAAGUGCUGAUGAAGCUUGAGCAAACUCUGAGGAGACUACAAGUCAAUGCUCAGUUAGAUCGUGUGAACUUGCUUGAGUUCCAGCAGAUGGUGAUGUGCCAAUGUCAAGAAAUGAGAAAUUUAAAAGAUUUGUGUCCAUGGAAUAGAACUUUCAUGCGGAUGAGUCAUGUUGCACCUUUUAAAGGAUGCAUGGUGGGUGGAAUUGAUACUUUCGUUGAAGAGAUAUGCAAGCUAACCAUUCAUGGUUCAAUGCAGUUGAGAAAUGUUAGUAUUGCAUUGAUUGUGAGUCAAGUCUUCCAUUCAUGGUUCAAUUCUGCUUCGACAUCUGUGUUCAAAUGAAGUUGUAAAAGUUUUUCUAAAUGAUCAUAUAUGUUUAUAUAUAUAUAUAUAUAUAUAUAUGCUUGCUGGCAGGAUUUUCAUAUGCUUGUUGCGAAUCCUAGAAAACAAAAGUUAUCCGUGCAAGUGAAGGAUUCUCUUGGAUUUACAGAUUUAACAAUUGUUUGAAUGGUAUGCAUUAAAAUUUAGUUAGUUUUAGAUUGGAGACUAUUCCCAGCUUGAAAGCUUCUUCCAAUCUCUUUUAGAUUUGCGUUUCUCCUUUUUAUGAGUCAUCUAUCGUAUUGUGUUGGUAAAAUAUCAUUCUGUGUUCAGUAUUUUGUAAGUUUCUUACUGUUACAAGGAUGCUA